rnacentral:rRNA from 1 species
GACGAACGCUGGCGGCGUGCUUAACACAUGCAAGUCGAACGGAAAGGCCCUGCUUUUGUGGGGUGCUCGAGUGGCGAACGGGUGAGUAACACGUGAGUAACCUGCCCUUGACUUUGGGAUAACUUCAGGAAACUGGGGCUAAUACCGGAUAGGAGCGCCUGCUGCAUGGGGGGGGGUGGAAAGUUUCGGCGGUUGGGGAUGGACUCGCGGCUUAUCAGCUUGUUGGUGGGGUAGUGGCUUACCAAGGCUUUGACGGGUAGCCGGCCUGAGAGGGUGACCGGCCACAUUGGGACUGAGAUACGGCCCAGACUCCUACGGGAGGCAGCAGUGGGGAAUAUUGCCCAAUGGGCGGAAGCCUGAUGCAGCCACGCCGCGUGCGGGAUGACGGCCUUCGGGUUGUAAACCGCUUUCGCCUGUGACGAAGCGUGUGUGACGGUAAUGGGUAAAGAAGCACCGGCUAACUACGUG